rnacentral:lncRNA from 13 species
CUGAAGUUCCAAGAGAACUGAAUGAAUGAAUUCAUUCGCUGAGUGGAUUUUUGGAGGGCACGCUUCAUCUCACCAGAAUUCCCUUUAAAACACUUCAUUCAUGACUUCCCUGUUGGUUUCUCACUCAGAUUCCUUUCUGGACAGAUGCCCGCCCUGCCAUUCCUGCUGAUUCAGCUGCUUUGCCCAGCAACCAAGGAACCAGGUUCCCCCAGCCCUUCCAUCCUCCAGGCAGCACUGGCCAGCUGAGCAGGACACUAGAACAUGGCAGCAGUGGCCCAUGGGAUGAGAUGAGGCCUCAAAAAUGGAUGCAUCUGGAGACCUGGCCUCCUCCUCCUCUUUGUACUGGCCCAACUCCAAAGCCUCUGACCUGCCGGCACCAGCAGCUAGGAGUGCAGCCGUUCGGAGGAACAGCUUGAAGCAGCUCCAUUUCCGGGUCCCAGUAGGGGCCAACCUGCUGGAAAAGAAUCUUGCUGAGAUCCAGAACCUGCGCCAGCACCUGGAGGAGUCCGUCACCGUCAAUGACCACCUGAGGGAGAGGCUCGAGCAUGUGCUCAGCCAUGGUGACCAAGGGAAAGGUGAACUUCAUUCAAGAGGAUGUCAGAACCUGCUUCUCAAUGUGAAUCAAGAUCGAGAAGUCGGUAGCCGCUACCGCUGAGCAGCCGGAGG